rnacentral:rRNA from 1 species
UACGGAGGGGGCUAGCGUUGUUCGGAAUUACUGGGCGUAAAGCGCACGUAGGCGGCUUUGUAAGUUAGAGGUGAAGGCCCGGGGCUCAACUCCGGAAUUGCCUUUAAGACUGCAUCGCUAGAAUUGUGGAGAGGUAAGUGGAAUUCCGAGUGUAGAGGUGAAAUUCGUAGAUAUUCGGAAGAACACCGGUGGCGAAGGCGGCGUCCUGGACCAAUACUGACACUGAGUGAGCGAAAGCCAGGGGAGCAAACGGG